AAUGUCAGAAGAAUGUGAAAUCUGACAGGAAAACAAAUAGAUUUGUUGAUAUUUUGAAAGAAUAUUGAUUACGGCAAACUGAAUUCGUCUAAUUUUUUUUAGUCUUAUGAUUUUUUUAAUUAUCAUUAACGUAUGGUGAAAUUAUACUGUCAGCAUGUCUUUUGGUAGAGGAAACAGCGAUUUCCCGUUGGAAGCUUUGAAAGUACAUGGCCCCAACUAUUUAAAACACGCUUUAACAAGUUGUACGGACCCUUUGAAGGCUAUAGAAGAGUUUCAGGUUACCAAUGGCAUUCUGCUUCCCUCCCUGCGUCCAAUGUUACCCCUUUUGGACCUUCACGGUGUCCGUCGACUAGAUUUUCACAUGUCCGUUGUGGAGGAGCUGCGAGAAAAACUCAUAAACCACAUCAAUGAAAUCGGCAAGCAAGAAGGCAAAGAACGGGACCACAAACUCAAAGAGCUCCUAGUGAAAAGCUUCCCCGUGGUCAAAGUGAAAGCCAUGAGGCCUAUCGUGAUGGCUAUUUUGAAGAACACUCCCCAAAUUGAUGAUCACUAUUUGAAGGUGUUAGUGAGAGAUAGGGAGCUGUAUAACGACACUGACACUGAGGUGAAGAGGCAGAUUUGGAAGGACAACCAGUCAUUGUUCGGUGACGAGGUAUCUCCGUUGUUGAGUCAGUACAUUAACGAGAAGGAGAAUGUACUGUUUGACCAUACGAACCUGAGUACGCAGUUUUUUGGGCCUUCGCCGAAGGUUCGCAGACAGGGUGGGGUGGUCCAGAAAUUAGCGCACAUGAUUGGCAGCAGCGUCAAACUCUAUGACAUGGUACUCCAGUUUCUCAGAACUCUCUUUCUGCGUACUCGGAUCGUGCAUUACUGUACGCUCAGAGCAGAACUGCUAAUGGCACUCCAUGAUCUGGAAGUUCAAGAUAUUAUUUCCGUUGAUCCUUGCCACAAGUUCACUUGGUGUCUAGAUGCGUGUAUACGAGAGAAGAGUGUCGAUAUCAAGAGGUCCAGAGAACUUCAAGGGUUCUUGGACAACGUAAAGAAGGGUCAGGAACAGGUCCUCGGGGACCUUUCAAUGACUUUGGGUGAUCCUUAUGCUAUAAAUUUCCUAGCCACCUCGGCCAUCAAAAUCCUCCAACAUCUCAUUCACAACGAAUCCCUAGCCAGGGAAAACACCAUCCUGAUCCUUCUCUUGCGGAUGUUGGCCCUAGGACUGAGCGCCUGGGUGAUGAUCGACUCGCAAGACUUCAAGGAACCCAAGCUAGACAGUCAAGUUGUGACGAAGUUUCUGCCGGCUCUAAUGUCGCUCAUGGUGGACGAUCAAGUGCGUCAGCUGUCGGGAAAGCUCCCGCACGACGAGAGAGAGGCUGCCAUUACUGUCAUCGAGCAUUCGGGGCCUCUGCCUGAUGCGGUAGAGGCCUAUCUGCAAGAUAGUACCGUGGCUAGCAUACUGGCUAUGUACUAUACGUUGCACGUGGCGAGACUCAAGGAUAGGGUGGGACUUUUGAGGAUUCUGACUGUUUUGGCCAACUGCAAAGAUGAUAGGGCAUUUGAGGAUCCUUUCUUGCAUUCGUUUGUCUGCCUCCUGAUCCACAACGGCGACGAAUUCCAAGCAGAAGACUUCUGCACGGCUCUCUUCGAUGAAUUCUUCUUUGCCGGCCUGUCUCGAGACAACGUUACUCGACACCUGCUGAAACUGCUGUGGUACGUCCACCAAAAACUACCUGCUAGCAGACUGCACACGCUGAUGAAGGCCCUCCAGCCGACUCACCAGCAUAGCGAGAAAGUCCACAACCUUUACAAGCUGCUGCAGGACAAGAUUGUGUCUCAAGAGGAAGCGGCAAUCCCAGUCGAGAUGGACAUCGACAUCAAUUCGCCUCUGAUGAGCGUUCCGACGCCUGCCCCUUACCACCACACUCUGUAAUUAUGAGCUAGGGUGUGGAGAAGAAUUAUGGAACGGUUCGUAUUGAAGUCACAAACAUUGAUCUUCCUUGGGAAAUUCAAAAUGCAUUCUGGCAUUAAUAAGAUCCUUAUUUCUCUUGCAGAGAGGGAACAAUUGAAAAUGCUUACCGAAAUUGCUUUACUAUGAACUCAAAUAUUUCAUGAAAAGAUGUACAUACGAAAUAAAAAAUUUUGAACUACCUA